AGCCAACUCUAUUACUGUCCAAAAGCUAGAUAUGGAAAUCUAUACGCUAAAGCAACACAUUAACGAUAUUCAUCAGGUGAUAAACCAGCAAAGAACACUUCUCCAAGACGUGUUAACUAUUGUGGAAGACACAGUUGUUACAACAAAUUUGCAUUCGGAGUUAAUUGCCAAAUCCACUGAGUUGCACCAAAGUCAUGACUUAUUUAAGCGUGAACUUCUAUUUCUGCAUGACCCAAUAUUGUUCCUGUUGUUGCAGUGUAAGCAUGCAGAAGCCAAAC